rnacentral:lncRNA from 1 species
ACUGGAGUGGUUACCGCCUUUGUCCAUAGUCUUUCCUCCUCGCUGGUUAUCAUCGUUCUGAUGACUACCCUGGUUGUGGUCCCUCGGUUGAGUAUACUCACUAUCUCGCUCUAAUAAUUGAGCCCUGUUUACAACAUCUGAAUAUAGAGAAAAUUUAUGAGAAAUGAGGUAUUGACGAAUUUCGAGUUUUAGACCCCUCAGAAACAUACGCGUCAUACGUUCCUCAUUUUCCACAAAAUGAGGUGCAAACCUGGACAACUCCGCAAACUUCGCCUC